rnacentral:rRNA from 1 species
CCUACGGGUGGCAGCAGUGGGGAAUAUUGGGCAAUGGGCGCAAGCCUGACCCAGCAACGCCGCGUGAAGGAAGAAGGCUUUCGGGUUGUAAACUUCUUUUUAGAGGGAGGAGCACAAGACUGUACCUCUUUAAUAAACCACGGCUAACUAUGUGCGAGCAGCCGCGGUAAUACCGGGGGGGCAAGCGUUACCCGGAAUUAUUGGGUGUAAAGGGUGCGUAGACGGAAGAAUAAGGUAGUUGUGAAAUGCCUGGGCUCAACUGAGGAACUGCCACUAAUACUGUUCUCCUAGAGAGUAGGAGAGGUAGGUGGAAUUUAUGGUGUAGCGGUGAAAUGCGUAGAUAUUAGGCGGAACACC